GACUUCCUUCCUAUCCAAUCUAGGAAUGGCUUUGUUAAUGCAAGCCUACACACAAAUACCGGGCCUAUACAGGCUAGUUCUGCCAAGAUGGAAAAUAGGAGCAUGACUUCCAAAAAUGGCUUGAUUCUUCUGGAAGCAUAUGAGCCAGUCAUAUCUGUGGAGAAAGACAGUGACAAGAUCUGUCAAGCUUUCAAAGACUGUGUCAGCUAAGUCCCCUCCUGUUCCCUGAUUAAGAGGUGAUGACUACUCCACUCCACUCCACUACCAUUGUCAACUUUCUCCUGACAUGAACAGAAGCCACAGCGUCUCAUGUGCCCGCUCAUCCACUGGCACAUUGAAUGUUUCCCCUCAAAGCACUUUUGUCUUACCAGUCAAAUCCUGUCCUGCACUGGUCAAGCCUCUGAACACCUCAAUUUAUGCCUCAUGCCCUCAUUCAGUCACUGCUGUGAUCCCUUUCCAACACUGUAAGUAGCCCUUGCAUUCCCAAUAAUAUUGUACUUUAAAUGUCUUUAUUAAAUGCUUCAGGUUAAAGUACACGUUUUUGAAAUACAGUUUAUAGUCUCUGUGCAUUCCACGCCUAUACUGUGGGUCUCCCAUCCUCCUCAAUUGUUCAAGUCACCAGCCUCAACUGCUAUGGACGCAACCCAGUUGUUCGAUCUAAAUGUUCCAUUGCCAUACUGGCUGGCAACGUUCUUAUCCCUUGCUUGCUAGCUAGCAAACUAUGGCUAACUUAGUCACAUCAAACAGUGCAGCCAGAUUAACACCAAAGCAGCUGCAUUUGCAUUUGUUAAGCUGUUUUCUAUUGACAUUUCGUUGUAUAUAUCCCUAAAAAUGAUGCCAGUUGUUUCAUGAUUUCAAUUGGCUGAGAAAAGCUGCCUGUCUCAUCCCGAAUCGUUCAUUAAUAUGGGACAUCUGGAGAUCGAAUUUCAAUAUUGAAACAAUGUUGCAAAUGACGGAGAGACAGGCAGCAAGGUUUAUACACUGUCUCCGCUGUUGAAAACCAAAUGCUUGUCUAAAUGUCUAGAUACUUUUUAAAGUGGAGAUCAAGUUUAUAAAUUGCCUUGCUGGGCUGAUGAGACUGUGGAUUGCGCAGUGAUAUGGAUAUGGAGUCCAUAGGCAUUUCAACAACAUAGCUUUAGCCAGUGGGAAUUUGUGGAAUAGACACUGUCUGGAAUGCAGUUUUAACCAAUCAGCAUCCAGAAAUAGACCCACUCGUUGUAUAAUUAAGCAAUUAGGCCCGAGGAGGUGUAGUAUAUGGCCAAUAUACCACGGCUAAGGGCUGUUCUUAUGCACGACGCAACAUUCCUGAACCCAGCCGUUAGCCGUGGUAUAUUGGCCAUCUACCACAAACCCAGAGGUGCCUUAUUGCUAUUAUAAACUAGUUACCAAUGUGAUUAGAGCAGUAAAAAUACAUUUUUCUUCAUACUUAUGGUAUACGGACUGAUAUACCACAGCUGUCUGCCAAUCAGCAUUCAGGGCUCGAACCACCCAGUUUAUAAUGAUGCAUAUCCACUCAGACCAAAUACACGCUCCUUGUACUUUCCAAAGAUCUCCUAAGGGUUGUUCCAUGUCAUUUCAGCAAGCCAUGAAACCCACAAUCUCAAAUAGUUCUGAAAUCAUUUCUGUAGUUAGAAACAGAUAAGAUAAGCAUUUCUGCAACAUUCCUUUGUUGAAAAAUAUAUUUUUCUCUGAGAAAUGAAGCUAAUUGAUUGCACCCAAACUGGCCAUUUUAAUAUAUAGGAUUCAUAUAUUAUUCAAUAAUUAUAGUACUAACAUCUGAUUUGGACCAAACUUUUUUUGCUAACAAUGAGUAAGACAUUUUACAUUUAAGUCAUUUAGCAGAUGUUCUUACAGUAUGGAGUGCAUACACUUUCAUACCUUUUUCCCUGUGGGAAUCGAGUCCACAACCCUGACGAUGCAAGCGCCAUGUUCUACCAACUGAGCUACACGGGACCACAUGAGGAACCCAAAGAAUUGCAAAAACCCACACACAGACCUCCCCGUACCCCACACCAAACCGACCCCAACAUUGAGUAUAUAGUAUCAGUUCUCUAUGUUUGACAAGUAGUCUGGAGCAGUGGCCCUGAGUAUUGUUUCUUCAUCCUAUCUAAUUCUUCCCCUGUUCAUAGAAAUUAAUAAUUGAAGUUAUGUUUAUGCCCCAUUCUACAUCCUCAUAUUACCAGGUUCUGACCACUACAUGGUGCUGUUCCUGUUAUUAGGUGAUUGUUUUUAAAGAACCCCGCCCCAUGUUAAAGAGGUAGUUCACCAAAAUUACAAAAAAAUAAAAUGUUGUUUUCUUAUCCUAUCCUUAACCUAUUCUUAUCUAUGGACGAGGUAUGACAAAAACCCACACUUUGGUUAUGUUUACCUGGCCACUGUUUCAAAAGCAAACUUUUUAGCAAUUGUGGCACAUCCAAUGCAAGUCAAUUGUACCUAAAUAAGCAUUUUUGCGCUUCAUAUCCAAAUCAUCUAUAAGUAACAGAAACCAAGGGGUGCAAGUUUUUUUUUCUGUAUCGCAAGAAUACAUUUACACCAUAGAUCCAUAUAUAAUGACGAGAUGCUCAUGUCUCCGCCCCAAACAACGGGAAUGGUUGUCCCAAAGGCAGGAAGGCAGGCGACAAGCUUAGGUCCCAAAUAAACCCAUAGAAACGCAUUGGGAUUACUUUGGACAGAUGAUUUUGGCGAGGGAAAGCUCUCCCUGCCACUCAAACAACAAAUAUGAGAGAUCACUUCUUUGGCAAACGGUUUCAACUUGCCAUUUGCAUUUGAGGAUUGGUCCAACAGAAUCAGUCAUAUUGACACAAGCACAUUGAGAUAUUUUACUGUAAUAGAGAAGUUAACCUUUCUAACAAUAAUAAUAUAAUAAUAAUAAAUUACAAUAACAAUAACCUUUAAUGUCUCAACUCUUCAAAUUACACGAAGAGCAGGAACCACUAGAACAUAAUGAACAGUGAUUCUGGAAAAUUGCUCAGUUUAUUGUGCGCACAGCUUGCGGCAUUUUAGCCAAAGAUUGUUAUACUAGCUGUCUAGUCUGUGUUUUAUAAAAUGUACAAUAAUAAAACACAAUUAUAUAAGGAAUUGGUAACUCAUUCUCAUGCUAAGAAAUAAGGUUGGCCACUUGAUUUCAACAUCUGAACAAAGUGGACAGGCUAGCUGUUCAAACAGUCGGAGACAGUCGGAGAUUGUUCUGCCUUGUUAGGUAGCAAAUAGAUCCAAGUUGGCUUAACUUGAAAAAUAAAGAUUAGCUGGCCACUCACUAGCACGUAGGCUUGUGCUUGAGAGAUUGUUUAUGAGACCUGUGUUAAUUUUCUAUAAUGCCUACUACAAGAAGUUAUGCAUACUCCUCCUUCACAUACAACACCCAUUCUGCCACCCACAUUCUGUUAAUUAAAGGUUCCCAAAGCACACACAUCCCUGGGUUCUCCAUCUCUUCAUUCAAAGACUCAAUCUUACUGACAGUUGUGGCUGCUUCGCGUGAUGUAUUGUUGUCUCUACUUUCUUGACCUUUGUGCGGUUGUCUGU